AAAAAGAUAAGCUAACCCCCCCAAGCUAAUGGGUUCAUACCCCAUUUAUAAAGGUUAUACUCCUUUUCUUUUUA
rnacentral:tRNA from 1 species